CGGCGGGGCCGGGCCUGCGCACCGGGGCGGUGGAAGAGCAGCAGCGCUCCGAGGCGCUGCAGCAGCUCGGGCAGCCGGUGCCGCCGCAGGGGUGCAGAUGUUUGGGGCCUGUUAGUGUGGAGAAGAGUAAUGGCAUCCCUCUCAAUGCACACAAAUAUCUCAAUGACUGGUGCCAAGAGGAUGUGUCAGACUCGUUUCAGUGGUGCCAGCGGCAGGACGGGUAGCACCGGCAGCGGAACAAAACACACGUUCCACCUCAACAUGAGGAGAACUCCUUCACGCCGAGGUGGCGGAGCGCUGACCAGGCUGUCCAGGGCGGUGGCGGAUUCCCUCUGGAGACAUUCCGAACCCGCCUGGCACGGCAGCAGUGACCCUGCAGUGACCCUGCUGGGCAGCGGGGAUGAUCUCCGGGGGUCCCUCCCAACCCCGAGGGUUCUGUGAUUCUGUUCUCAGCUCCAGCCACGUCUCCUUCCACCGGCGGUACCACCUUCACCUCCCACCGCUCUCAGGUUCAUCCCUGCGGUGUGAGGGGCUGCCGGGAUGUUCCCAAUGUUCUACACCCGUAGGAGAUGUAAAACCAGUGGCCAGCAACUGAGAGUAAGAGAGUUUACAUUUUAAAAGCAUUAUUGAGUCUUGCAACAUAGCCAGUGCAGAGAAGAGACAUCGAAGAAGCUUUUUACUGUACUACAUACUGAUAAUAAGAAAACCAUAAUCAAGUAAAGUGUCCCACUGAAAAAAAAUUAAGGAAAUCUACAAAGAUAUAACUAUCUGCUAUCAAAUAAAAUCAGACAAUGAUAAAUGAGCAUAUAGUAAAGAAGAAUAGUAUUCCUGUGAAAAGUCUAGCUAAAUCUAUAGCUAAAUAUAUUUAACUAUUUGCCAAAACUAAAAUAUCACAAGACAUUAAUAGAAUUCACUUAAUUUUUCUUUGAUAAAGUGGGAGAAAGGCAGCAUCCAAAGCUGCAGAGAUUGUACGGCCAUGUGCUGUCUGUAUUCUCUGUUAUUUUAAACUGACUAGGUUACCUGCUUUUAGUCUCAAUUAGGGCUAGAGAAUUAGGUUUCUAACAGUUGCCUCUUAUGACAGUUGCCAGGCAGUGAUGGAAACCUCCUUUUUCUGAGUAAAACAUUCCAUAGUUAAUCAAUCCAUUCCUGCACUUGUCUUUCUAUGCCUUUCUGCAGAGUUUGUAAAGCAUUAGCAAAAAAUUCUCCUAAAAAAGAGCAAUAGGAGAAAGUGUAGAUUGAAAUGUGGAGAAGUACAAACAGAUGAAGAGCUGGUUAGCAGAGGAGAAAUAAAGAUGUGGAAAAUACAUUCUUGAAAAUGAGAACCUAAGGAUAGGAAGAUUGACAGGAAAAGAAGGAGCAAGUGAAAUACUGGUAGGUAGGUAGGUCAGUGUUUGGGUCAAGGAAACCAGCAUUUGGCAAAUAAUGUUUCUCCUUUAGUAGUCAACAAAGAUAACCAGUAUGAAGUGCAUAUUAAGGGAAAAAUUUUAAGAAUAAGCACAGGAACUACAGACUUAAGUGUAUCUCUCUGAGGAAUGGUUUAAAAAAAAUCACAGAGCAAAUCCCAGUUUGUUUUACAACUAGAAAUGUAUUUUUUAAAAUUCUAUUUCACUAUUAGGGAAGCACAAUUUAUUUACUUGAAAAAAUAUUCUGAUGAUGAAUCAUGUAUUUAUUAUUUACAUAAUAAAUUAUUAUCCUCAGUUCAUAUAAUUAUAGUACCAGGUAUAGAUAUAGAUCCUAAAAGUAUGAUAUUUCAGGAUAAUUUGUCAGGAGCUCCCAUGAGCUAUUGUAAGGCAAAUUGAACUUCUGUGGCUGAGAAAAACAGGAUUUGACAAACACCUGAAAGUAUUCUUGUUCCAUUAUAGAGAUGUUGCUGUUUUAAUAAAGGACUAAAGAUCCAAAUUAUUUUCAUCUGUUUAAAGUGUCCUGGCUAUAUAAAUUAGAUUUCAUUAAAAGGCUUAAUACCUGUUGUGAUAGAAGCUGAGCCUUCUACAGAGUAUCACUAGUAAUUUACGCCUUUUAUCUAAUUUAAUAGGGCUAAAUAGACUACAGUGAGCCUUUAAGAGUUGUAUUGAAGAGAAACAGGGACUGCAGGUCAGAUAUGCAGCUGGUUGCAAAACAACCACUUGUCUUGUAGGGAAAAACAGGCAGAUGGACUUGUUCUUUCAAGUGGGAGUGUCAGAAGAGUGAAGUCUAGGGCUAUGGGAAAAGACAGGAGCAAUAUGGGCUGGGAAAGAUCCCGAGAUGUGCCACAGGCUUCCCGUGCACACAGGUGCUGAGAGCAGCUCCUUGGAGCUUUACUUACCUCUGCUGCUCCCCAGCAUGAGACUGGGAAGCUCUCUGCUGGGGAGCAAAGGUGAGCUGCAGGGAUUGAAUGGAGGUGCUGCCAUUGCUGUAGCUGCUUUGGAAGAGUCCACUGCAGCUUCCCUCUGGGUGUCCCCAAGGACUUCCAAGAUACAGGUGAGUUCCUCAUCAGGGGAUUGUAUACUGUACAUUUACAGAGGAAAGUGCUCAACUAUAGAAAUAUUGAGCUUCUGAGUAUUAAUUAUCCCAACAGCCAGAACCACUUUUUUUGUUGUUUUUACUGUACAAAACAGUAGAAUAAUUAAAUUGAAAUUGCCCUCUGGAGAUCAUGUGCUCAACUCCCUUUCCUCUUCAAACUGGGCUAAUUUCAAGGACUGGCUCACAUUGUUCACAGCCUUGUCAAGUUGUUACUGUCUCCAGAAUGGAGACUCCACAACAUCAUGUUCUGUGUUCCAGUGCUCAGCUGCACAGGAUUGGUACCAGCCUGUAUCCUUGAAUCAAGCCCAGCUUUUCCCAUAGGCUUCUAGAGAUGCAGGAUAAGCAGUCCUUCACUCAGACGUCCUGGGGAUAGCACCUCACUGCCUAAACUAUGCCCAAAGCUCUCAGCACAGAUCUCUCCAGUUAAAAACUGAAGCAAAGGUACAAUGAGUGUACCUCUGUCCUCUCCCUGUCCUCUGUCACUGGGUUACCUACCACAUGUAUGGGGCCCACAUUUACUUACUUUUCCUUCCAUGUUAAUGUACUGGAAGUGUCCUUCACAUCCCUCACUAAUUCCAAUUCCAGCUGAGCUUUGGCUUUCCUGUUUCUGUUUCAGCACGCCUGAGCAGUGUUUAUUCCUCUAGGGCAGUCCACCCCUGCUUCCACAGUCUGUGCACUUGCCUUUUGCCUGUGACUUAGUCAGGAGCUCUCCAUUCAGCUAUGCUGGCCUUCUCCCAUGUCUGCUCAGCUUCCUGCAGAUCAGAAUGGACUGUUCCUGUGCUUCAGCUAGCUCUCCUGGGCCCUUUAGGUCAGCCUUCUGUGAGAUUCUGCCAACAAAAUGUCUGCAGGAGACAAAGUCUGCUCUCCUAAAUUCCAGGAUUGCAGUUCAACUAUUUAAUCUUCGUCACUUCCCUCAGAAUCACAAGCUUUGCUAUAUUGCAGUCACUGCUGCCAAGGCUGCCACCAGUGUCAGUGCUCCCAGCAGCCCUUCCUUAUGUGUGAGCAGCAUGUCUAGCACAGCCCCACUCGGCUGGUUGAGUCCUUCUGUCAAAAAAUUGUCCUUGAUGUACUACAGAAGUAGCUGGAUCACCACUUGUGCCAUCCCAGUCCUCUCUGCAAGAACAAGAGCCCAUAGUCAUCAGUCUCAGCUGUGAAUGUUGGCUUUUUAUUUUCCUUUCCCCCAGUCAGCUGCAAAAUAAAGGCUAAACCUGCCAUCAGAAAUCAUGUACUGGGAAAAAUAAAUCAGGAAUUACAAAAAUACUUCUUGUUUCUGAGUCAAGGAGAAGAGUAAGUCACAACAUGCUUAGGUUGAUAUCAGAAGACUUUACUGUAACAGAACUGUCCACUUCUCAGUUGCCUGAAAAGCCACAAAACUGAUUUCCUGGCACUAUGGUUGGACUCCUGCUGAAGACAAAGGGGAGAAAAGAAGUUACUUGAGCAGGAGCUGCAUUCUUUGAGAUACACAGUAUAUCUUCCUGUGACAGUAUGGCUCUGAGCACAUAGCUCUUCAAACACAGAUGCUUUUUUUCCAGCAACAUCUAUAGAAUGAGUUCACACUGCACAGGGUGGGAGAGCUCAGAGGUGCAUCUCCAUUGCCUCAGUGUCUCUGACACCCCAUAAUUCAAAUAGACAUUUCGAGCAACAAAAAGGUGGGCAUGCAGUUAGGAAGCAGCAGUAUGGAUUGUGCAUCUCCAAAGGUUUGUGUUUCUGAAGAGUAACCCCUGUCUUUUCCUGUACUUGACUGCAAAUCCACACAUCUACUCUAACCAGUCACGUCAGUCAGUACUUUGUAAAAGCAGAGUUACCAGGAAGAGCCCUUGUUGGUGUUACAAACACAAAUCCUAAAGAAAAGUAACAUGGAAGGAGUAGCUCAAGGCAAAAUUAUAAAAACAACAAAAAACCCCAAAUGUCCAAGAAACCACACCACAAACUCCCCCAGCUGAUUAUGGCUCAAAAUAAGAGAAAACUAAAGAAAAAUGAAGGCAAAUAAUUGCAAUUUAAGAGUGGAGCUGACCAGAGGGGAAGGUUUCUUGUGUAGGCUGUUGAGAACAGCUUAGAACUGAGGCAAGAUAUAUAUAUAUGUAUGUAUGUAUAUAUAUAUAUGUAUGUAUGUAUAUUCUGCAGCUGUGGUAGAAAAGGCAAAGAGGUUGACCUGUGUAGUCCCAGUAGUGACCUAUCUCACUUACCUGUGCCACAGCAUUCCAAAUCAGCACUGAGGAAAUUUCCCAGUGGGAAGGGAUGAUGUUUUCUCUUGUGCAGUGAUGUCCUCUCCAUCACCAUUUCAUCUGCUGCCUCAGUAGGGCCGGGCUGGAAACGAGCUGACAUAGACACAGGACUGCCAGGGCUGCACUCGAGUUCAUCACGGCAUUCUUUGUACUUACACCAAAAGGCCUUCACACCUGUGGAUUCUGUAAAUGCACUUUGUCCAUGACAGACAGCUUUUCUGAAAAACUACCCUUGUGGUGUCACAUCAACCAUGUCAGCAACUGCUCCAAGUUAAUCAAGCCCAGACUGAAUUUCAGAGCUCAGUAUGUCACAUUUGGGAAAUCAGCAAAGGGCACAGCUGACGGUAGUGCCCCAUCUCAAAUCCCUACUGGUGUCCUUACUCUCAAAUCAAGUUCUCCUGGAACCUGAUUAUUAUUGCUGGCAAACUUCUCCUAAAGCUUCUCCUUCUCCUUUCCAUAGGGACAACAGAUCACAGAGUAGAGCUAAAUAUUUUUGGGUCAGCCAUAAACAACAAAACCCCCACACAAAAGAAUCCAGCCGGUGUCAUUUGUGGUGCCUUACAAAAACAGCUCAGUACUGCCUGCCAUGGAACCUCCAGGCAAAGGGCAGACUGGCACCUACUGCUCAAUGAUCAGCUUUAGCUUUCUUCUACUUAGGAAAGUAUCUUUUAAAACAGAUCUGCAUUUGCUUUGAAUGGUUGCUUUCAGGAAGUAUUCAAGGAGCAAACCAGCAUAGAAAGAUUUGCAUGAAAUAAACAUUCUUGUGUUCUGAAGUCUGAAUGUGUUGUAUGACUCUCCUCCAAAUAUUUCUGGAAUCAGUAUUUGGCAUUUUUUCCAAUUGUGAAUCCUGACAGAUUUGGAAGAAUAAAACAGAUCCUGGUUGCAUACAGCAAUGACUUCCUUCUAAAAUAAAUAGUUGCAUGGUAAAAACAGAAGCAUAAAAAUGAGAGUGCAAUGAAUAAAGAAGUUACAGUGUGAUCUGCUUCUCUCUAAAAUGGGCGGUAUUUAGAGCAUAUUAGAGAAUACGAGCAGGAGAAGACUGCUAAAAGUAAAACACUUGUGCAUAACCAAAAAAAAGGAGGGUAAACCCAACUCUGAGAACAGCUUAUAGAUCAUUCCAAGAAACCCACAAAAGCUGAAAAACUACUGAUUCAUUUUUGGGAAGUCAGUGGUCUUCAGCCUUUGCUGGCCAUAGGCAAUGAUGGCAAGCAACUAAUAUAUCAGCCAUAUUCUGUUUUCUUGGCUGUAGUUUUAAUUUCUAAUGGCCUCUAGAAACAGCAAAGCAUCUUAUGAACACAGAGUUACUCUUUAGCCAUACAUGGGGACGACUUUUAUCAGAUGAAACUUCAGCAUCUACUACUAUUUCAUUAUAUUAUUUUCUUCUGUAGUGGAAAAGAUAAACAAAAAAAAAGCUUUCAGAAUGCAAGUAUCUGAGAUCGAGGUAUUAACUGGACAGUAAAGAGGAAAUUCAGGAUUAGCUUUUGUGACAGGAAUCAGAAAGUGUAAGACAUUACACAAAAGGCUGUUUACCUGGAAGGUAAAAUUUCUCUCCUUCAAUUCCCUUUUCCUGCAAGGCAGCCCAGCUUCCUAUCUCCUCUGCCAGUUCUGAAUGUGUGCCUACAAAAUGCAGUUUGCAGUCUAAAUUACUUGCUUUUAAAAAAGGUACUAUAAUUAUUAGCAUCUUCCCUACAGUAUCUCCAAGACAGUUUCCAGAUAUUUCAUCAAAGGAGCAUGAAAAUGUACAUCUUCCCAGAUUUGCAGAAGAGGGUGUCUGCGAGAGAAAAAACUGCAAUCCUCUCUGCAGAGCUGUCGAGCCAAUGAACAAUUUAAAUCUCAUUUGAUCUGUAACUGGAACAGGCUUUGCACAGAACAAGAAUCUUAACACCCAGAUAGGAGCUGCGGGUUGAGUAUUAACAAUGAUAAAAAGACUGGUUAUAAAUUUGUACUGCCCAUUGAAGUGAGAAUUCCUAAAUCUAGCAGCUCUAACAAAGGUAAUUCUUACACUGAUAAGGAAUGAGAAAAUGCAUUCAGCUAAGCAAAGGAAUUUAAAAAUGGUUUAUCAGUGCAAAAAACCUCAGCAGCCAAUCGCUGCACAUGUCUUGACAUGUAAAUACAGAAAUAUUUUAGACAUGAAUGCCGAAAAUAAUCCCAGGGCAACUCAGCCCUGUACAGAAAGCUGGGCAGAUCUUUUGAACUACCAUGGAAUUUUCAGUGCAGGGCAUCUGCAGUGUAUUUCAGCCUCUGGGAAGAGAAAGCAAUACACACCAUUUUUGCUUUGCAAAGAGAAAUAAUGACAAACCCCAUCUGUUUCUUACAAACAUAUAAAUUAUUUUAUUUACAAAGCCAUGUUACAAAAAAAAAUAAUAAUAAAGCAAAAAACAAAAAAUACAAUCGCUCACUAGAGAAUAUCUCCAGGCCCGGUGUUGAACCAUGGCAGUAUCAAUCAGAUACAUGUUUGUUCUGGUUUUCCUUUUUUAAACUGUAAGCCAUAGAAUUUACUAUUUACACCUACUUUAGACAUUUAUUCUGCUUACAAUUAUCACAAGCAUGGAAUGAAUUCUAUUUGAUACUGCUAAUACAUAAAGGUGCAGGACAAAGAAUGAAAAUACUUAGUGUUACAAAAUAUGGAUUGUAGAAAAGAAAUUGGCUGUACAAGUAUGGCAUUUUUUUUCUUAGAAUGAUUGGACAUGCUUUCUUCAAAAGUCUUCUGGAAAAGGUUCUAAAAUCUGUAGUAGGAAAGCACAAUAUAGCAGGUGCAAAUUCAUUUCUGUGCAACAACAGUUAUUUAAUAUAUCCCAUGACUGACCAGCUAUGCAAAACCCACAGAGUUUUGUUAAAGUGCCAUGGGUCAACAGCAUAACAAAA